rnacentral:rRNA from 1 species
UACACAUGCAAGUCGAGCGAUGAAACACCUUCGGGUGUGAAUUAGCGGCGAACGGGUGAGGAACACGUGAAGAAUCUGCCUUCAACUCUGGGAUAACUCCGGGAAACCGGGGCUAAUACCGGAUAUGAGCCUCGAUCGCAUGAUUGGGGCUGGAAAGUUUUUCGGUUGAAGAUGACUUCGCGGCCUAUCAGCUUGUUGGUGAGGUAAUGGCUCACCAAGGCGACGACGGGUAGCCGGCCUGAGAGGGCGACCGGCCACACUGGGACUGAGACACGGCCCAGACUCCUACGGGAGGCAGCAGUGGGGAAUAUUGGGCAAUGGAGGAAACUCUGACCCAGCGACGCCGCGUGAGGGAUGAAGGCCUUCGGGUUGUAAACCUCUUUCAGUAGGGAAGAAGCGAAAGUGACGGUACCUACAGAAGAAGCACCGGCUAACUAUGUGCCAGCAGCCGCGGUAAUACAUAGGGUGCAAGCGUUGUCCGGAAUUAUUGGGCGUAAAGAGCUCGUAGGUGGUUCGAUACGUCGGAUGUGAAAAUCAGGGGCUCAACCCCUGACUUGCAGCCGAUACGGGCAAGCUAGAGUUUGGUAGGGGAGACUGGAAUUCCUGGUGUAGCGGUGGAAUGCGCAGAUAUCAGGAGGAACACCGAUGGCGAAUGCAGGUCUCUGGGCCAAUACUGACACUGAGGAGCGAAAGCGUGGGGAGCGAACAGGAUUAGAUACCCUGGUAGUCCACGCCGUAUACGGUGGGCGCUAGUUGUGCGAACCUUCCACGGUUUGUGCGACGCAGCUAACGCAUUAAGCGCCCCGCCUGGGGAGUACGAUCGCAAGAUUAAAACUCA